UACGCAGGCUGUUCGUUAAGUCGGGUGUGAAAUCCCGGGGCUCAACCCCGGAAUUGCGCCCGAAACUGGCGAGCUUGAGUGCGGGAGAGGGAAGCGGAAUUCCUGGUGUAGAGGUGAAAUUCGUAGAUAUCAGGAGGAACACCGGUGGCGAAAGCGGCUUCCUGGCCCGACACUGACGCUCAUGUACGAAAGCGUGGGGAGCAAACAGGAUUAGAUACCCUGGUAGUCCACGCCGUAAACGAUGAGUGCUAGCUGCUGGGAAUGUCUACCGUCUCAGUGGCGAAGCUAACGCAUUAAGCACUCCGCCUGGGAAGUACGGCCGCAAGGCUAAA
rnacentral:rRNA from 1 species